rnacentral:rRNA from 1 species
AUGCAAGUCGAACGAAGUAGCAAUACUUAGUGGCAGACGGGUGAGUAACAUGUAGGUAUCUGCCCUUUGGCCUGGAAUAACACGAGGAAACUUGUGCUAAUACCGGAUAAGUCUUUACGGAGAAAGCUUUAUGCACCAUUGGAUGAGCCUGCACUUGAUUAGUUUGUUGGUGGGGUAAUGGCCUACCAAGACUGUGAUCAAUAGCUGAUUUGAGAGGAUGAUCAGCCACAUUGGGACUGAGACACGGCCCAAACUCCUACGGGAGGCAGCAGUGGGGAAUCUUGCACAAUGGAGGAAACUCUGAUGCAGCGAUGCCGCGUGAGUGAAGAAGGCCCUUGGGUUGUAAAGCUCUUUCGUCGGGGAAGAAAAUGACUGUACCCGAAUAAGAAGGUCCGGCUAACUUCGUGCCAGCAGCCGCGGUAAUACGAAGGGACCUAGCGUAGUUCGGAAUUACUGGGCUUAAAGAGUUCGUAGGUGGUUGAAAAAGUUAGUGGUGAAAUCCCAGAGCUUAACUCUGGAACUGCCAUUAAAACUUUUCAGCUAGAGUAUGAUAGAGGAAAGCAGAAUUUCUAGUGUAGAGGUGAAAUUCGUAGAUAUUAGAAAGAAUACCAAUUGCGAAGGCAGCUUUCUGGAUCAUUACUGACACUGAGGAACGAAAGCAUGGGUAGCGAAGAGGAUUAGAUACCCUCGUAGUCCAUGCCGUAAACGAUGUGUGUUAGACGUUGGAAAUUUAUUUUCAGUGUCGCAGCGAAAGCGAUAAACACACCGCCUGGGGAGUUCGACCGCAAGGUUAAAACU